CCUACGGGAGGCAGCAGUGAGGAAUAUUGGUCAAUGGCCGGAAGGCUGAACCAGCCAAGCCGCGUGAAGGACGAAGGUGCCAAGCAUUGUAAACUUCUUUUGUCAAGGGACAAAAUCAGGCUCGAGAGCCUGACCGAGGGUACUUGAAGAAAAAGCAUCGGCUAACUCCGUGCCAGCAGCCGCGGUAAUACGGAGGACGCGAGCGUUAUCCGGAUUUAUUGGGUUUAAAGGGUGCGUAGGCGGGCUGUUAAGUCAGCGGUAAAAGCCCGGGGCUCAACCCCGGCGAGCCGUUGAAACUGGCUGUCGUGAGAGGGCGAGAGGUAUGCGGAAUGCGCAGGGUAGCGGUGAAAUGCUUAGAUAUUGCGCAGAACUCCGAUUGCGAAGGCAGCAUACCGGCGGCGAUCUGACGCUGAGGCACGAAAGCGUGGGUAUCGAACAGGAUUAGAUACCCGUGUAGUC
rnacentral:rRNA from 1 species